UACGGGGGGGGCAAGCGUUGUUCGGAAUUACUGGGCGUAAAGGGCUCGUAGGCGGCCAACUAAGUCCGACGUGAAAUCCCUCGGCUUAACCGGGGAACUGCGUCCGAUACUGGAUGGCUUGAGUUCGGGAGAGGGAUGCGGAAUUCCAGGUGUAGCGGUGAAAUGCGUAGAUAUCUGGAGGAACACCGGUGGCGAAGGCGGCAUCCUGGACCGACACUGACGCUGAGGAGCGAAAGCCAGGGGAGCAAACGGG
rnacentral:rRNA from 1 species